rnacentral:rRNA from 1 species
GACGAACGCUGGCGGCGUGCUUAACACAUGCAAGUCGAACGCUGAAGACCUGGCUUUUGUUGGGUUGGUUGAGUGGCGAACGGGUGAGUAACACGUGAGUAACCUGCCCUCUUCUUUGGGAUAACGCCCGGAAACGGGUGCUAAUACUGGAUAUUCACUGGCCUUCGCAUGGGGGUUGGUGGAAAGGUUUGUUCUGGUGGGGGAUGGGCUCGCGGCCUAUCAGCGUGUUGGUGGGGUGAUGGCCUACCAAGGCUUUGACGGGUAGCCGGCCUGAGAGGGUGACCGGUCACAUUGGGACUGAGAUACGGCCCAGACUCGUACGGGAGGCAGCAGUGGGGAAUAUAGCACAAUGGGCGAAAGCCGGAUGCAGCGACGCCGCGUGAGGGAGGGAGGCCUUCGGGUUGUAAACCUCUUUCGCUCAUGGUCAAGCCGCAACUGUGGGUUGUGGUGAGGGUAGUGGGUAAAGAAGCGCCGGCUAACUACGUG